UACGAAGGGAGCUAGCGUUGUUCGGAAUCACUGGGCGUAAAGCGCACGUAGGCGGAUGUGUCAGUCAGGGGUGAAAUCCCGGAGCUCAACUUCGGAACUGCCUUUGAUACAGCACGUCUUGAGUCCGAUAGAGGUGGGUGGAAUUCCUAGUGUAGAGGUGAAAUUCGUAGAUAUUAGGAAGAACACCGGUGGCGAAGGCGGCAUCCUGGACCGGCAUUGACGCUGAGGAGCGAAAGCUAGGGGAGCAAACGGG
rnacentral:rRNA from 1 species